rnacentral:tRNA from 1 species
UCAUAGCUCAGUUGGUUAGAGCAUCUGACUCAUAAUCAGAGGGUCCAAGGUUCGAGCCCUUGUG